rnacentral:lncRNA from 1 species
UAUUCACCCUUGAGCUUUCGCAGCUGUGCACAGCAACACAGAAAGUCACAGUAUACUUUUAUAGUCUAAUUAAAAGAAGGGGGGAAAUGUGUAGAGGGAGAAGAAAUGAACAAGGUUGCACGAAAACUGUUGCUUUAUCAGUUGAGAGGUUUUAAGUAAGCAAUGGGGUGGCAGAGGAAUUGAACCGGACGGUAGGGGGGACGGUUGAUCUUAAAUUCUUGUGCUCUGCCCAUUGUUCCAGGAUUUGAUGGGGAAAAAAUUAAGCAGAAUUCUGCAAAUGAGACAAAUUUUGCAAAACAAUGUCUUUAUAGCUUAAGCUUUUAAGUAUUAGAAGUUUUUGGGGUGGUUUGCAUCUUUUUAAACACAGCCCACAUGGAUUUACUGUGAUUUUCAAAGGGAAAGGAAUACCCAUUUUAUGCCGAGGAUUUGUACAAAUUAUGGAGGCCCUGAUGAGAAAAAAAAUAUGUUUGCAUUUGCUCAGAAUUGAUGGUGAUAGUUAACAUCAUUUUAGGGUGCUGUCAAGUCAAGUCGGAUUUACAGUGAUCUUUUUCAGAGUUUUAUAGGUAGAAAUCACUCAGAAGCAGUUUGCCAUUCCCUUCUCCUGGGACUGUGCAGCCACAAAGAUGCACAAUGGUGAACUGAGCUCCAAAAUUCCUUAUUGAGGCAUCUCAUCAAAGAAGGACAGCCUAGAGAGCCAAGAACAAAGACUUUAGAGAGUAUUGUUUACGUCCCUAAUACCUAUAAAUUAGCAAUUUGUUGCUAUUAUUAUGGAAAUCUGGGUCUUCUGCAUUUUCAGUGACUACUGUAAGUGACCACUGCAAUGAUACCAACGCAGUGACAGGCACCAUGUUUUACCAUAUUCCUAAACUCGGCCUGAGGAUUGCAUGUGAUGAUGAGAUGCAAAUGUUCAUUGACUAUGUAAUGAUGAGCAUUAGAUGGUAUUGAAGUCACCCCGUUUUGAAUUGAUCAUUGCAAUUUCUCAGCCACCAAGCUUAAGAUGCCCCGUUUUCCUUGCUGCAGAUGAUGAUACCUGGAGAACUGACCAAGAGCGGAGAAAUAAAGGAGAGCUGUAUCCCCUUCAUUCCUCAGGUUUAAGUGAUAGUUGUCCA